GCAAAAAAGAAUAUUUCAUGGAAAGAAGAUUGUUAGGAUGAAUUCUUCAAUUCCAAUCAUUUAAAUAACGGGUCUCAGGAACCAAGCAAUAUGCCAAAUUAGUGGACAGUCCACAUCAUUAACAUUGCAUACUGUUUUAAGAUGAACAAGAAUGGAACUAAAGUGUCUACCGAGGAGUAACAUACUGCUAUUUUUGUAAAUAAAGUACAGAAAGUGUAUAAAUAGAUGGUUGAAUAAUACAAAUCCAGAAAAGAUCAUUGCCAAUAAGCCACUAACAAAGUAGCCUCAUAAACAAAGAAAUAGUUCUUCGGUUCUGCCUAAAUUUCAUGAUAAUGACAUAAAACUACAUCAAAGAUCAGAGUCAAACUUUGUUCAUAAGAACAUAAAAUAAAUCAUUGGCAAGAAACAAUUUUGCAGCAUGUCAUAUGUGUUGAGCAUCCAAAGGAAAUAAGAAAUUGUCAGCCAGUGGCUCUCAUCUUACUCGCCAGCAUAGUAGUGUCGCCUUACUAUGGCAUCCUUAACCCCCAUAUAACAUGUAUACAAACAGCCACCCCUAGAAAGGCAAUUCCACUUCAUAUGCAGCGAAAUAAAAAUACCCUGCUUCAUACUUUUUCCUCAUUUAGCAAGAAAGUUUCUUUAAGGAUUAUGACCAAACAUAACUCCAAAGGAAUAGACAGUUUACACGAUCAUGCUUCAGCACAAGAUAAGAAAAAAGAAAAAAGAAGCACAAAAUAAAAACAAGAAAACACACGUACAUCUGCAAGUGUGAAAACCUCUCUGCUUUGGAAAGACUUGAUAAAACUCUGGCUACAGUUUAUCUUUACUGUGAUAAAAUAUUCCACAUGGUACUGCUUUCAUGGUCACUAUAAUGAAAACAUCACCAUAAAGCAAAACUAGCUGUAACAAUGUACUGUUGUGGAUUUCCAACUAUUGUUAAAGAUGAUUGAUCAUUUACAAAGCAUAUAAUCACUCAUAACAUGUGCCAAGAAACACCAGCUGAUCUUUAGAACAACAUGUAAAGCCAUCAAUUACUCUAGCACACAAGAUCAUUUAUCAUACAUUUUCAGGAUUAACGUAAAAGUAUCGUGUCUACUAGUUUGAGGAAUUGAGAUGCGCACUGGGGGAAUCAGUUGAUAAGUGGAAGAUAGUGAUCGGGCAUCAUCCUAUUAGAAGCAUCGGGCACCAUGAACUACCUCUACCUAAUUAAGGUAUAAUUUGCUGUCAAAGCUGGGUUCUAGAUCACUCCGCUCUAUAUAUUAUCCACACAAAAUAUGACCAGUUAUUUCCUGCACUUGUGAUUGUUCCAAUGCCCAAGGAAAAUAAAACAGAGGUUAUGCAAAAGUUAACUUCCCUUUUUUUUCACGUAGAGUAGGUUUUCCCUCAAUGUAGAGGCCUUAUAAGUUGCCUAGGUACUUCCCAGAUCGCGAGUACUGAUAGAUAUUGGGUCUAUCCAUCGGCCUUCUCUAAUAGGGCACUCAACCAUCCCAUGGUCAAGUGCGCAAGAAAAAAACUAAAGCAAAAACUAAAGCAAAAACUAAAGCUGAUAUACUUGAAUGCUUUUCAUAUAAAUUAAAAAAAAAAAACAAGAUGAAACAAAAAACAGAUCACAUCGAAUCCAUCAAAGAAUUUCCUAUAAAAUUUAAGCUUGCCAAACCUAUAAAAUAUCUAACAAAGAAAAUUAAAGUAAAGAAUCAGAAAACAAGAUGCCAUGUUCAACCGAUUCAACUCAACCGCAAUUAAAAAUCGCUAAAGCAAUGGAUUACCAUGACGAGUAUAUGCAAACGAUCUCUCUACAACUCAUCCGAGCCACAACCAAGUCGAUGAAAGUCUGACUCGACGAGUCAGAUUGGAACCAAAAACAACUGAACUGGAAACUCAAUAGCUGUAAUGAGAAAACUUUUGAAUUGAAGAAACUAAAAACACAAAAUUAUGACGAUAAACAAUAAGAAAACAAAGCUUUCUUCUCACGAUUUUUCCCUUUUUUAUUUAACUUAUCAAAUGAAAAAUAAAAAUUCAGAACAUUUCUACCCUCUGAGAACAUUUUGAGGCUAUUAAUUUCUAGCCUCAAAAACCAAUACAGAGAAAAUACUAAACAAAAAAUGGACAGGUGGCAAAAGCCGCAGAUCAAACCGCAAAUGAAGAAAUUCGAAACAGAUCUGUUACAUUGGGGGAAGAAAAUAUAUGUACCUCUUGCUCCGAUAAAGUGCAAGUCAGCUGCGAUAUCCGUUCGUCCAGGUUCCAAUACGAGUUCGAACCCACAGAAAACCACGGCGAUAAUCGACGGAGAGGAAUGAAGGAAUGAAGGAGGAGAGUGGGGGAUUACUGGAAAAUCGAUAAUCUCAGGGAAAUUUUCUAACAGAAAUGAAGGAAUGAAGGAAGAGAGACUGGGCGUGAAAGUGCAGAGGAGAAAGUUUGUGGGAGAAGACGACAGGUUAAUUUGGUCAAUUUUCAGCCAAAAUCACUUCAAGCUGAAGAAAAGGAGAAAUUUUUAGCUUGUCAUAUGGAGAGAAGUACUUUUCUGAUGGUGAAAUAAUCUGGAGAGAAGGAGGCUGUUCUUCAUUUCUUUUAAGGGAAAAGGAAAAGUCCUUCUAAAACGGGCAGAAGAAUGGGGCCUUAAUAACAUAGGAUAAAAAGCUUAUUUAGUAACAGAAGCUUAUCCUAACACCUCAAUUUGUUAUUUAAAAACUGCUCAAUUCAAUAUCACGUCUUUAAAUCAUAUCUGUUGUUUGAGUUAGAUAUUUAAACUAUUUUUUUUAUCAAAUCAAGUAUCUAAAUUUUAUUGCGUAACAGAAGUUGGCUCUUACCAUUAAAAAAAUGUCUCAAUAAAUAAAAAAAUGUCACACCACCACCGCAUUAAAAUAUAAUUAAAUAAAAAUAAUUAUAUUAAUAUUAUAUAAAAUAAAAUAAAAACCCCUUCCCCCACUCUCAUCCCUCUCCUCUUCCACGGUCCCCCCCUCCCUACCGUCCUGUCCCUUUAUGGUUUUAUCUUCUUUGUAAUGGGUGGUGGUUUUUUAACAUCUUGGUAAUUGAAUCAUCUCCGUUAUUUGCUUUGAUGGGUCGUAAGGCUUUUUACCAUUGUGGGUUUUCUUUUUCUUUGAUUUUUUUUUUUGUGUGUGUUUUUUUGGGGGUUUUUUUUUAAAAAAAACUUAUUGUCUUUGCUUCAAUGGAAGUAGUAGAUCGGUGGGAUUGACUUAUUUUCUACAUAGAGAUGAAGGGUAGGGGGGAGAGAAUAUUUUUUCAUAUUAAUAUAAUUAUUUUUAAUUAAUAUUAAUAUAAUUUUUAUUUAAUUAUAUUUUAAUAUUGUGGCAUGACGAUUUCUGAUUGGCUGUAACUUUUUGUAAUAAAGCGUAACGACAAGAUUAAUUUUGGUUAUAGAGUAAAAUUUAGAUACUUAACUUAAAUAAAGAACAUAAUUUAAGGAUCUCAUGUUGAAUUAAACUUUUAAAAAACAAAAGUAAAAUAUAAAAAAAAUCAAUUAAACCACACCCAAUUGAGCCAUUGUUAUUAACUUAAAAAACUAUUUAAGCCUCUCUCAAUAGUUGACAGUAAAAUAAACUAAUAGGCUAAUAAGACGAUAAUAAGUGGUCGUCCUAGAUUUAGGGUGGGUUUGGAUGGGCGAUUGUGUGCGUUGCGGUGCGUUUAGUUACUUUUUGUCUCACGCAACAGUGUUGUUAUAGUAUUUAAUCUCACCGCCACCGCUGUUUUUACACUAACCGCAGGUAAACGUACCGCCCAUCCAAACUCAAUCUUAAUCUUACAUUGUUAAUAAGACUAUAAAAAUUCAUUAAAAAUAUAAAAAAAAAUAUAAAAUUGUAAAAAUCAUAACAAGUUAUUGCAAAUAUAAAAUUUAUAAAAGAAAUACUACAAAAAUUAAGAAAAUAUAUAUAAACCAUAAAAAAAUUAUGAAAAAAAAAAUAAAACUCUUGUAUUUAAAAAUAACAAGUUAUAAAAAUAUAUUAAGAACUUCUAAGAAAAAAUAAAGUUUUGUUUAAUUAUUUUUCCUUUGGCCGAAUUGAUCCUCUAGUUAGUUUGGUCAACACCUGAACGACGUCGUUGCUCGAUCCUUUAUAUUCCUCUUCCUCGUUAAUAAUCUGACUCUAUCGACGGUGUCUCCUUGAAUUCUUAAAAAUUGCCUGAAAUCUCAGGUAAUCUAAAUCUUCCUGCAAAUUCACUCGUUUUCACCUUUCUAAGCAUCCAAAUAGGGAGCUACUACCACUAGUCGAUCUGGGUUUUCUUUCUUCUUUCUCAAUUUAGUUAAAGAAUCUAAAUAUGACAAUCAUUUGACCUAUUUCUUCUCUUUGUUAGGGUUUUAUAUUUUUGAUCAUUCAAAUUUACGUCCAUUUAUUUUGAAUAGUAAUUAUUUUCUAUUGCAGUUUCUUAAAAAAAAUGGAGGAAAUAUUAGCUUUGUUUCUUUCAAUGUUUCUCGUUCUAGCGUUGGUUCCGUUAUAUAUAUGGAAACGCCGUCAGGAUACUCGACCAACCGUUGAACAUGUUGAAGAACGGCAGGUAUGUUUGAAGUUAUUCUAAAAGUCUUAAAUUUGUUUUUAGUUCUGUGUUUUUCUUUAUAUUGGUUGGUGUGGGUUAUAGGCUCCAAGAAGGGAAAAUGUAGUACGUGGUGGGGCCGGUGCUCGUAGUAGGAUGCGGAGGAGACCAACUGCAGGAGGAGCUAGCUCGUCGUCAGCUGCAACUGCUGAAGGUUUGUGAAUUGGAUAGAAUUCUGAAGUUCGAAUUAUUGUUGAGAAUUUAACAAAUUUACUGAUUAAUGACCAUUGGGACUUUCCUGCCAUAGUUGUGAAUUCCGUGUGUGAAAUAAGUAUAGGAGACUAUAUAAAUUUGCCAGGAUGUUAUUGUUUCUGCCAAUUAGUGUAUUAAUUUUCAAAUAGUGGUAUGUUUUCUCUGACUGAUGCUUUAUAGGGACUGUUUAUAAGUGGACUAAGGACAUAGCCAGCAGUGACUUAUUUUUUAUGAUCUGAUGAGUUCUUUGUGAGGACUGAGAGUAAGCGUUGGUUCUUUUGUGAAUACAAACUGAAUUUAAACGCUUUAUGUUGUUGAAAAGUCGUUGCGGUCAUGUAAACGCUUCUUAGUAAGCCCAGGAUCCUUUUCUUCUCUUUGGGAAGGUGCCAAAGGAUGCAACUGAAUUUAACUCGUAGGACAGUCUAGUCUUCUUAUGCUCUUUUCUCUUCUUGGGGUUAGUGGCACUGGUUUUGAGCAUUUUGUGUACCGAAAUGUGAAUGCAGAAACUGCUGAUGGAAGUGAGGAAGAAGAGGAAGGAGAUGGAUAUUAUGAGGCUAAAGCAUCAAAGAAGAAGGAAAAGAAACGGCAAGAAAGGGAUGCGCAACGAAGGGUACAUCAUUAUCAUCUUAUUGUUUACUUAUCUAUUUUCUGUUUUACUCGGGCUCUUGGCCACUGUUCACUAAGUUCAUAUGAUUUUUGGUCAAGGCUGAAGAGGCUGCUCGUGAGUCAAGGCAGACUAAACAGGAUCGAUAUGCUGAAAUGCGGAGGAAAAAGGAUGAGGAGCGUGAGGCAGAGGAACGUAGGCUGGUCUGUUGGUUGCCUUCAUCUUUGUAGCAUGAUGCAUGCAGAAUCCAAACACAUGACCCCUUGCAUAUAUGAUUUUCUGGUUCACUACAUUUGCUAUGGUUUAUGCAGGAAGAAGAAGCUCAAGCUCGAAAGGCCAAGGAGGAAGAAGCUGCUGCCUUGGAGUUUGAAAAGUGGAAAGGAGCAUUUUCUGUUGAUGCUGAAGGAACAACAGAGAACGAAUUCCAAGAUGGAAGUCAGGAUUUGCUUUCUAAUUUUGUGGAAUACAUUAAGGUACGUUUGAGCCCGGUAUCUAAGCUAGUUAGCCAUCCUAAUUUUGUUUUUGAUGAAUGCUCAAAAUGUUUCUUUGGCUGUUCUUCAGUCUUCUAGAUCUCUUCCUUCUGGUCUUUUUUCAUUGACAAAUAAAUAAAUUAUCAAAUGUGUAUAUCUGUUUCAUGGAACAUAAUAAGCAUUUUCAAAUUACACGAGCUGCAUAAUGAUUGAAUGAGCAUCAGUCCACUUUAUAAUUUUAUAUUUUUGUGUUGCCUUUUGUUUUUUUAACCUAUUUGUAUAUGAUCGUGCAGAAUCAUAAAUGUAUUCCUUUGGAAGAUCUUGCUGGAGAAUUCAAAUUGAGAACCCAGGUAUAUGAUCUUAAUAGCUAAGUAAAACCCUUUCAUAUGUGUACUUUCAGCCUCUUGAUAUAUUGUAAAACCCAUCAACGGAAUGUGUGUUGCUGUUUUUUUUUUUUUUAAAUCCUAUCCCCUUUUGCUUCUAUAUUUAAAGUACAAUGAUUGUUUGAUGCAGGAAUGUAUCAAUAGGAUCACCUCCCUUGAAAGUAUGGGUAUGUAACUAUUAUCUAUUAUCAAUUCGGGUACUGAUUUUAGGAAAUGGAUAAUCAAAAUGCUUGUCAUCUACAAUGUAAUGAUUUAUGCAACGAUCCUUUAUUUGGUGUGUGUGCAGGGCGACUUUCAGGUGUCAUGGAUGAUAGAGGGAAGUAUAUAUACAUCUCAAUGGAGGAGAUGAAGGCUGUAGCUGACUAUAUCAAGCGUCAAGGAAGAGUAAGCAUUUCACAUUUAGCUAGCAAAUCUAAUCAGUUCAUUGAUCUAGAGCCGAAAGUUCAAUUUACAGAGGAGAUCAGCACAGCAGAGGAAAUCACUGUUGCUUGAUUCAAUUGUACACUCUUCCCUUCUCAAGAAUAUGUAGGACAAGUUACACUGAGGAAAAAAAUAUAGCAAUUGCAUCAUGAAAGAUGCCAGUUUGAAGGAUUUUGUUUAUACUUUUUUACAUGUUUGUGGCAUAAAGUCUAGUUGUGUUUCAGUUUAGAAAUCUAAUUUUCUUGGCCUGUAAGGAUGGAUGAGUUUUGUGGUGCUGUAAUACUACAAGUCAUGCAAACUAUCAUUAGUUGACUGUAAGAUAGGUAUUAGCAUAAACAUGAAAAUUUCAAUGAUUUUACUUUAAGAUAACUUGAACUGAAAUGAACUUAUGGCGUUGUAUUUCAUGAAGAUCAUGCAUUAGAAUUUAGAAUCAAUAUGGAAAUUGGCAUCAUUUGAAUUUGUGAUCACUUUAAUUGAGAUGAUGAAUUAUCUGUAAAUUUUUUGUUUAAUAUUUAUCUCCUAUUGGGUUGAACGGAUAACCUUUGGACCAUUAGCAUGCAUGAAGAAGGAAAUUAGUAUGAGAACUACAAUUAAUGAUCAUUAUAGUGAACGUAGAGGGUUCUUUCCUUUAGGUAAAGAGACAAACUAGUAAACAUGAAGAGAUGACGGAGAGACCUUAGAAAACAAGUGCAGAGAUAGAGAUAGGUGAAUGUGAUGUAAAUGAUAUAUAAAUAGCAAGGGAUGGUGAAAGCUCUAGCUGUUGCAUAGAAAAUUUUUUAAUUUUUAAAGUUUAUCAAAACAACUUGAAGAAAACGUUUAAAACUCCAUUUACAGUCUCAUUAGAAAGUUAUUAAAGAGUGAAUGUGUUGCAAAUAAUACAUAGUGGAAGAACAUUACAUGGAAUGGGAGAGAGGGAAGUUAUAAACAUUACAUGGAAUGGUAAAGAGUACACCAUUUACUGCGCGGACUGCGGAUCUAAGUCCAAAUGAGGUGCAUUUGAUCCACUUGAAUUGGCUCGAGUCAUGAAAUAUGUACAGAAGUCUAUUGAUUAAUUCGAUAUGUACCGUUGAAUCUGGAGGACCUCAACUAUAAAUAGAGACUUUCACAUAAUUUGGAAUCACUCAGUCUUAAUCUUUUAAAGUAAUAGAAUACUUUUGAGAGGAUUUACUCAAACACUUAGUAUGCAUUACUUUUCUGUAGAUUUUAUGUUCAAUCGUGGUUAAAUUUGUGAAUUCUUUGAAAAUUCUCUAAAAAAUUAUCAAAAAUAUCUUAAUAUAAAUUAUCAAAAUAUAUAUUCGUGAUUAUUAAACAAAAAUAAAUCUGGAAAGUAAUUUACCCAUUGGGAUGGAUUCUAGCAUUAAAAGAAAAGGUAAAUAACGGGAAAAACUGAAACGAGUCAACUUACUAAUAACAAACUUGGAACAAAAAUAUCUUAAUAUUAAAACCCAACUUGAUUCCGACCAAAGACGACAACCGGUCGUGCCCGAAAAGUCGUCGUUUUAACCUGUUUUUUUUUAACUUUUGUUGUCAGAAAUUGUACUCCACUGUAGUGCUCCCUCCUUUAUUCUCAUUGACCCACACACAGCUCCAUCGAGCGCCACGUGUAUGUUUACACCAUCCCAAUCGAGUACAUUUUGUCACACGCCCAUGAAUCUCAUUCACCAUAACUUGCGUACAACCUCCGAAAAUUCCAAAAAGAGUUUUAAUUAGUAAAUUAAUUUCUAAGCCUUUCCUUUCAAUUUCCAAAAACCAAAAAUUGAACUCCACUCCGACAACACACACAAUCGCCUCUCACAUUUCUGCUUAUUUUUAGGGUUCAUUUUUUCUUCUUUUAAUAACCUAAAUUUCAUUUCUCCAUCCCAAAAAUCCUUGGAUCAGGUAACUUUUCCCAUAAAGCUCCUUCAGUUUUUUCCUUUAAAUGUUUUUGCGGGUUAAAAAUCAAAUUUUUUUACCGUCCAUUUGUUCAUCUAAAACUUUUUUGAUCCUGGGUUUUUUCUAAUAUUAAUAAAAAAUCUUUAUAUUUGCUUCAAAUUAAAAAUCUCUUCUGCAUGAAGAAAAGCAGCAAAAUUAUGAUUGUUACUUUUCCGGGAAUCUUGUUGUUCAUUCUUGUUUGAAGAUUAGAUUAGAUUGAAAAUAUUAAUCUAAAAUUCUGAUUCUUUCCUUGUUUGGUUGGUUUGAUAAUGUGGUGCUUAGAAUUAAUAAUAAUGAUGUUUUUGGAAUGAAGUUGUAGCUAAUGUUAGCCUUUGUGGGGGUAAAAUUUUGCAUUUUCUUAUAUCAUUGAGUAAGUAGAAGAGCAAAUAGGAAUUGGAACCCUGGGAAUUGAAUCUUCCUUAGAGAGGGUAUAUAACACAUGUUAGGACAAACCUGCGUUAAUGAUGAUUGUGGUCAAGUUUGAAUCUUGUCAUGACUAGAUGUUGCUUGUUUUUGGCUUAGCCUAUGGUUUUGAUUUUUCCAUGUUCAGCUACUUAUUUUCUCACUUUCACCCUAAAAUUUUAACACUUUGGUUUUUAACCUUGAAAGUCUAAUCAAAUUGCUUUGCUUUUAAUGGAAAAGCUUAUUGAACCGUUAAAAUUUUAAUAGUCUUAAUGUGACAGGCUGCAUGGCGGUCCACAUGUGCUUAUAUUGUUAACAUGGAUAAUUUUUGUAUAUAUUUUUUAUUAAUUUUGAAAUUCUACUUAUUAAGUAUAGGUGGAUUGCCGCGAGAAUUGUCAGGUCAAUGCCGUUAAAAUUUUAUUGGUUCAAUUACUUUUUUCCGUCUAAUAGAAAGUAAUUUGACUAAAUUUUAAAGGUUGAAGGCCAAAGUGAUAGGAAAAUAUUUAGGGUCACGAUAAACAUUGUCUUUUUCAUUAACUUUUGAUCUUCACUUUUCUUUUCUUUUGUAAUAUAUGAUAUGAUGUUGAUCUGAUGUGGGUAUUGCUUUGCUAUUUUAGGUCCGAGCUUGUGGUUGUUAGGCCUCUUUGAUCAACUAAGUUUCAUGUCUGAUCUCGACGUCCAAAUUCCCACUGCCUUUGGUAUACUUGGAUCCUAACCUCCUCAAUUCAGUUAUUUUCAUCGUUGUUGACGGAUUUAACUUUUCAUUCGUAAUUGUCUUGAUAGAUCCCUUUGCCGAUGCAAAUGCUGAGGACUCAGGUGCUGGUGCAAAGGACUAUGUGCACAUUCGUGUUCAGCAACGGAACGGUAGGAAAAGCCUGACAACUGUCCAGGGGUUGAAGAAAGAAUUCAGCUACAACAAGAUACUCAAAGACCUCAAAAAGGAGUUCUGCUGCAAUGGCACCGUGGUCCAAGACCCUGAAUUAGGCCAGGUGCGUGUAACUAUUACCCCUUUUAAGUCUUGUUAAUUAGUCCGAUGGUCAAUUCUUUUACGUUUUCCAUUCGUGUUCAGGUUAUUCAACUUCAAGGUGACCAGCGUAAGAACGUAUCUACCUUCCUUGUUCAGGUAAUUGUUAUCGCUUUGUGGAAUAUUUAAAUUUCUUAGGUGACCUUAAGCGGAAGUGCACCGAUGCAGUUUCUUUGUGUUUCUGAGCAGGCUGGCAUUGUGAGGAAGGAAAACAUCAAAAUCCAUGGUUUCUAAGUUGCACAUGCUUAAAGUUUUUGGCUAGGUUCACUCGCCUCCUAUUGAAGUAGGAAAUACUACCUGAUUUGGGAUAUAUACAUAUCCAUAGUUGUUACACCUUUAUGUUGAUUUAAUUACAACAUAUAUGCAUCUCGUAUUUCGUGUACUUUCCGGUUUGCCGGAAUCUGUAGUAUUGGUUGAUUAUGAACUCUAUGGAAGUUUGUUGCUCUGUGAUUUAAAGUUAAAACAAGUAUAGUUUUAGUCAUUCGAAUACCAUCUUUUGCAUUUGGAUUUCAUUACACCAGAAUAAGCAUCAAAGUUGUCACUUCUUAUGCUAAUUGGGAUUUCAUGUUUUUCUUCAAUUCAAUAAAAAGCAACCCAUUAUUCAGCUUUAAUGUGGGACACUUUGGAGCUAUUGUAAAGAGGGAGGCAAAAUUUCCAUCACCCUAUGUAUUUUGGGGACCUACCUUAUUGAGUAAUUGUAUUGGUCCCAAAGUACAAUAAUACUUUCUUGAUAUUUAUUUAUUUCCAUAGGAACCGAGUUAAAGAUUCUUUUUCCCAAAAGUUCUUAAUGAUUUCAAUUUUUUCCUACAAUAAUAUGCUUCAUAAUAUAAUUAGUAUAAUGACAAACUUUUUCUUUUCUACUUGAAGACUAGUUGGGAAUGUGCCCACCUUUGUUGCAAAAUGAUGUCGUUUUUUCUCUAUUUUUCCUUGAAAAAGAUCAAAUUUCAAUUUCACCCAACGGCUGUGCUUUUAUGUGCUGGAACACUAAAGAAGUUGUAAUGUAUCCUCUUUUGGUUGGUGUACGCUACGCAACAACACCAAACUGUCUACACGUCUUACUUAUCUUUUAAAUUCAGUUUAUCCCAUUCACAAUAAUUGCAGCCUCACUAUUUUACAUUUAUUACGGCCUUUCCUGAUUAAAGUUGUUAACACUUAAUUGAUAAGUGGAAUCAUAGAAGAUAUUUGAACAAGAUAAAAACUCUUAAUUUUCUAUCAUGGUAAAUGUACUCAACAAUAGUUGGAAAAAACGGGUUUUGAAAAAUUAUUUUGGUUGUGAUAUCUGUUGACACCAUUUUUUGGAUGAAAAACGGGGUUGACUCGGGUUUUGAAAAAUGAAACGGGAGUAGCCACCAAUCCUUUUUUAUGAGGUGUGAUUGGACCACCUCGAAAAGUGGUUGUUUUUAAUAAACGGUUUGAUUUUAUUAAAACAACAAGUUUGGUCCACGAAAUUCAAAAAAACGGGUUCGGGAGUCGGUUACGCACGAGGAAGGAUUAGCACCCUCGUAACGCCCAGAAUUGGUACCUAGUUGAUUACUUAAUGUCUUAGUGUCGAGAAACUGAAAACUUUAAAGAAAUUUAAAAAUACGAUCCUUGUAUUAAAAUGUCUUGUAUAAAAUAGAUUGCUUAUAUUAAAAAAACUCCUACGAUAAAAUUUAAAAAAAGGAUAUUCAAUUGUCCGAGUCAGAUGAGGAAAUUGUAACCCAAUACGUUAGGGCACAAUUUCUCAACAUUCCGAACAUUGAACAUUGCCUUGGUUGUUUCUAAGAAAAUCCUCAUCUCGAAAAAUCAACGUGUCACAUCCAAUGCGUUAGGACACGACAUAUUGAAUUCCCGAUAAUGAGCUUUUAUUUUUAUUUUCAUUUAAAAAAAAAAGUAACCUCGAUUAUUUAGAUUCAUCAAAGGAAAUCAGAACCCAAUACGUUAGGGCUCGAUUCUCUCGAAGAUCCCAAAUACCGAGUGUUGCUUUUAUUUUGAAAAUUUUUUAUUCUUAAUAAAUUCGAGUAAAAUGGAUGUAAAAUAACAAUAAUGAUGCAAUGUAAAUAAAAUGAAACAAAUAAACAAUAAACAAAAAUAAUCAUACGGGCAAAAUAACAAAUAAUAUGAAACUAAAGUAAGAAAAUAAACAAUAAUAAACAUAAAAAAAGAACAAAAUUAACACAGUACAAAAUAUAUAUAAAUACGUACAUAUAUGUAUAAAACUAUGAAAAUAUGGAAAAUAUAUGCAUGUAUAUAAGAAUAUGUAAGCAUGUAUAUAUACAUAGAUUAUGAAACAUAGAUAUACAUGUAUGAAAAAAAAUAAGUAUUUGUAUUAAAUAAGUUUAAAUAUAUAUAUAGACACGUAUAUAUAAACAAUUAUAAUAAUCAUAGUAUAAUAAAACACACAUAUCUAAAAUUUACUUUUAUAAAUAUAAAAAAAAACAUAACAAUAAUAACAAUAAUAUUAAUAAAUAUGCUAAUAACAAUAGUGAAGAUAAUAAUAAUAAUAAUAAUAAUAUUACAAAAAUAACAAUGUGAUAUAAAAAUAUAAUAAACAGAUAAGUAUAAAAAUAAAAAUACAAAAACAAAACAGAUGGACUAAAUAGGGAUAAAAACAAAAGUACUGGGCAAAAUCGAAAUAAAAAAAACGAAAGAAAGACUAAAUUGCAACACGCGCCAAACAUAGAGGGACCAAAACAGUAAAUAAACCAAAAUCUCAAAAUGCGGCGUUUCAGGGCUAAAUUGCAAAAAUGCAGAAAACUACCCCGAAAGUGCCACAAAAUCGAAGGGACUUAUUGUGCAAAUACCCCAUUUACAGAAAACACGCGGAUCCUCCCCUGGGUCGGGUCACCGCGCGAGUCAGGGGUGCCUUAAACGACGCCGUUUUGCAAACUUUAUUUAAAACAAUUUUUUUUCUGAAAACUUCAUUCUUUACUGCCUCUAAAAAAAAUAAAAGGGAAAACCCCUCAGCAUCCCUUCUCCUUGGCCGAACGGGCCUCCAUUGAUCCCGCCACGCGCGGUGAUCGGAGGCUCAAAUCGGUCGUUUCUCUUAACCUCGUUUAAGGGACCGAUUAAAGGCCAGGCUUCAAGACCUUGGGGUUGCGGAUCGAAGCCCUGAACGUCGCCUUCAUGGUUCGAUUUUAGUAACCCGAAAAGAACUCCGGUGACGGCGCAAGCGGAGCGAUUCAGGUACUCCGUCCCCUUUCUUUUUCUUUUAAAACGUUCCUUUGUUUGUAGAUGUAGAAAAAAUAAAAAAUAAAUGAAAAAAAAGCAAUCUAAAGUAAAAUAAUACAGAUAAUCACCUUUCAAUAUUUCUCUUUUUUUAUUUCUUUUUGUUUAUUAAUAUCUGUUUCUUUUUUUGUGUUACAGAAGUUGUUCAAGAAAAACCCCCUCAUUACAUAUUGCUGGCUUUUUAUAGCCGAUUGUGUCAUCAUUCUCCAUUGCUAUGAUUGUCCCUUCUUUCUUCUUUGCAGGCGGCAGUAGGUGCGGCGCAGCAGUUGGUGGCUUGCGGCGCUGGUCAGAGGCAGGGUGGGUAGCUGGCGGCAGCUAGGGUUUCAGAAAACUGAAACCCUAGUUUGGCUAUUGUCUUUUGGGCCUGUUAGGCUAUUUUUAAUUUGGGCUUGUUUGGGCUUCGGGUUUGGGUGCAAAUUUGGUUUUGUUUAGGGUCUGUUUUUGGGUUGGGGUGUUUAUGGGUUAUGUUGUAUUUGGUUUUAGGUCUAUCGGAAAUGGGCUGGGGUUUUUAGAUUAAGUGGGUUUGGUACUGAAAUUUUGGGUAGUGGGCCCGGGCAAUAUAUUGGGCUGUACAAUAUCUAAAGUAAUAAACGCUUAAUUAAAAUUGUACCUUUUCGAUUUGUCUAGAAUGAGUGCUUCGACCGAGUAGCCUUCUCUGCCACAUCUAUCGAGUGUGGGUUCAUUUCAAAUAAAAAAAUUUUCACAAAAUUACUAGUGGAGCAAUUUUGUAAUUUCUCUAAACUUUUGAGUCAAAUUGUAAAUUAGAAAAAUAUCUCUAGAAAUUUUAUGAAAUAAUCUCUUCAGAGAAUUUUCUCUACAAGACCAAUCGUCGCCAGCCGCUAGUACCGCUAUGUCCAAUGACAACCCUAUCGAUCUGGUUUAGCCACCGGUUGGACUAUCAGCUCGGUUUGACUAGUUUUGGGGUCUUAGUCUAGGUUUUGGGCUUCUAGGUUCAAUUUACGAUCUCAGGUCCAAUUUUUAAGUUCAAUUACUCAUUGGGCCAAUUGUUUGACUUGAAAAUUAAUUUCCAAAAGUAUCAUAUUAAUUUUAAUUAAUUUGAUUAAUUUAAUUUUACUUGAUCAAAAUUAAUUUUCCCAAAAAUCACUUAGAUUUUCCAAAUUAAUUUUUCAAGAAAAUUCUUUAAUCAAAUUAUCUAGUUGAACAAUUUUCACGACCACUUAAUUUAAUUCCACAUCGAAUAAAUCGACUCAAUUAAAUGAUUUCCAAAGUCAUAGAAUUUUCUUCUGAUUCAAAUUGCAAUUCGAUCGAGCUUUUGUUGGGCUAGCGGAGGGACCAAUCGAGCAUAUACAAUUAGGCUCUAGUAAUUGCAAUUAUGUCCAUAAGCAUCUUUCCGAUAAUUCACAAUUACUUAAUCAUAGAGUCAAUCCAUAAGAAGUACCAUGAUUGAAAACUCCUUAUUUUAUACUCUUUACGAAAACAAUUAAUCCAACUGUUUUGUCCAAUGGCCUCGUCAUGUGUGUGUUUCUCUCAAAUGAUAUCAUUGAUUCCUUUGAGCUAAAUUCUUUCACUCAAUACAAUCCUAUUUUAUCUCGUUGUUACCAUUGUGUCUUCUUAAUGAUUAAUAUGAUCACUGUUAACAAAUGACUGAGAUAAAUUGCUUGUUUGAGAAUAAGCAACCUGUUGUCACGUUCCAUAUUUAUUAAUCCACACAAUUCCAAUGAGAGGAUAUCAUUAACUCUUUAACUGAGUUAUGAAUUCCAUUGUUGUUAGUAAAGUCAUGUCAUACACAAGUCAUGUACCCAACAUACCGGCUAUGGGCUCGAUUAUCGUUUAGCAUAAGCCUCCACUUAUAUCAAAGCAUAUGAGUUGCAUACGCAUGGUCAAUGGCUAACUUAGAAUUUAGGUAAAUCACACUAUGAACGUCACAAGUGAAUUAUUUCACAAAUGGAUUCAUAAUUAAUUCAUAUUGAGUCCAGUUCAAUGUAUCAUUCGACCAAUGAAUACACCUACGUCUCUACCCAUGGAGUCAAUUGCUCCGAUAGCUAAGACUAGCCAUCUCUCCAUUUGGAAUUGUAGACGACAUAAUAAUCCUUCUCAGUAUUUUAAUCAAAUGCUCACUUUUAUUUUUUUACAAGAUUACAGACUUAUUUAGAUUAUCUACUGAAAUAAGUUGUCUUUCUCGCAAUGUAAAUGUUCUUACAAUGCCAUUUAUCUUUAGUUUGAACUUAGACAAUCAAUGAGUUAAUAUUUGAUUGUCACGAUUUUGUUUUGCAUGCAAAAUAUAAAAGAUAGAAAUACAAAAGGCAUAAUAGUGAAAUGUAAAAUUAACUUCAUUUAUUCAUUCAUCGUUCAAAUAAAUAGAAAAUAGUUACAUGUUUACUUUAAUAUGGGAACAUUUUUCAAUAGUACGUGCUCACUUAAUUCCCUUUAUAUAAAACCACCAAAUAUAUCUUCUAUAUAUAUCAAGGCUGACUAAUCAAUUUUUGCAUAAGCUCCAUGUAAAGUGUGAUAACAAAGUUAUCAUUCUCUUUUUUUAAAUGCAUUAUCUCUAAGUGCAUCUUCAAGUGUCAUGUUUAGAUUGGGGUUACCAAAACUGUUGAUUUCCUUUUUGAGAUAAUGUUCUUUUUAAUACAAAUAAAAAUCUUACUUUUUUGUUGCUUAUAGAACAUAUUUAAAUUAAAAGGAUAAUUAUUGUUGAUGUAAUUUAAGUGAAAGGGAGGGAAGAUGUAAGGGAAAGGAGAGAGGCGAGAUGGAGGGAGGGAGAAAGUUCACAUUGUUGAGUGUCAAGAGCCUAGUUGGAUUUCUAAAUGUCUUCUCAUGUCAUAGUGAUUGGGAGCUAUAUAUACAUACUCCUAGGUAGGUUUCCUCUCCUUGAUGUUCAUAGGAUGAGUCAUGUGGCCUUGCUGACAGGUAUACUAAUGUAUGUUCCUCGAGCUAUGUGCCACAUUGUUGAGUCUUUAGAGUCUACACGACAAUGAAUUUGUGAACCUUACAAAUGGUGUAUGAGACAUGGUGAGGUCUUUGCUCUUGAUAAGGCAAUGGUCUUUGACGUGAUAGACACUUGGCAAGGUCUCUAUUCGAGUAAGGUGGAAUGGGGUGAGGUAUAUAACAAUUGCCCCUUCCCCCCAUGUUGAGGGAAAGGUUAUAAAAUGACGUUCCUCGAAACUUAGAAAGUUUUCAGUUUCUUUCUGCCUCUCUUUUCUCUUCCUUCCUUUCCUUUUGGCAAGUGUUGGCGAAAGAGUUUUUUUUCCAAUAUUGCAGUUAUGUUAUAGGAUAGUUGCGAUUAGAGUAUAUUUUGGUUAUGGAGUAAGGGGACAAUUGAAAAUGCAAGUAUAUAAGAUAAGAAGAAGUGAUGUUGCUUGAUUUAUCCACGACAUCAUUUUACUUUAUUAUAGCAUAUGUAUGUGAAACUAUGAUUUGUGGAUGGAAUCAACAAAUAUUAUAAUAAUUCUUAGGAAAGGUCACAUUAGAGACUAUAAAUUGGUAAAGGGAUAAGGAAAAAUUUAUUUGACUUUUAUUUGUGUUAAAAGUUUUUUUUUGUUUUAGCAAGUUUUCUUUGUGCUCUAGUACCAUUUUUUGGUUUGUGACAUCCUUUACUAUGGGUGAAUGAUUUAUUGUAGAAUGAGAUUUUAUUAUUUUUGGCAAGUGUUAUGUUGUUAUUCUUUUGUUUUAGUAGCUUUUUAUUUUGAUUUCAAAUAGGUGAUGGGAUAAAGUUAUUUUAUGUUUCACAAUUUUAAGAAUUUUGGUAGUUUAGAAAUCAAGUACUGGUUAAUACAUUAUACAUUGCAAAAGUGUGAGUAAUACGGUGAGAAUAAAAAGAUGCUUGGGUCGAGAUACUGAUGGAGGUGGUAAGAGAAGGAAUAAUGUGAGAAGUGUGGGAGAAACUUCUGAUGAGAGAAACAUAGGUAGAAAUUUUUGGGUUGUGGUUGUUCUUAUGGAAGAUGCCUUCGAGUGCCACACAAAACCUAAUUUCAUAAGGCAAAUAUUAGCUACAAUAGGCUUGGAAUUAGUAGUUUUCAAGUUACUAAAUUGAUUCUCUAUACGUACCAUAAAAUUACAAUAUUUACUAAAAUAAAAAGGGUAAACUAUAUUAGUAGUUGUUCAACUAUUAGUAAUUUUUUUUUGGUAAUUUCACUAUGAAAAGUUAUAGAAUGAUUACCAAACUAUUAGGUAGCAUCUUUUAAAAUUGAUAUAAUUGCAACUUUAAUCCUCAACAUUUUAUAAAUUGUGUUAAUUUAGUCUUAAUUCUAAAAAAAGUUAACUAUCAACAUUUACACAUUGUGUAAUUUGUUUUUUUUUUUGUUUUGUAAUUUUGAUUUUCUUUGUGACAUUGAGAGUUAAUUUUAAAAGAAUAAUAAAAGAUGAAAAUUAUUAUCUUAGAUUUUUUAGUGUUUCUAUUUUUUGUGUAUUUUAUUUUUUAAUCAAAUUAGAUGAUAAAAUUGUUUUUUUAAAUUUUUAGAUGGAAGGGUCACAAAAACAUAAAACUAUAAAAAGGAUUAAAUUACACAAUAUAUAAAUAUUGAUAGUUAAAAUUAUUAUUAUUCUAAUUUUGAAAAUUAUCACAGUUAACCAACUAGUGACAAAAAAAAGUUAAACUAAAUAAUUAAGUGAUAUUUUAUAAUAAGAUUAUAAAAAAUAUUAAUAAUUAGGUAAUAUAUUUAAAUAAAAAAACACCAUUGUGAAUGAAAAAUCCAAGAUACUAUAAUCAACUAGAAAUCCGUAGGAUGAGAAGGUGACAAAAAGAUUACCAAAAGUUGAGCUUUUGAUGACAAAAGAUCAUCAAAAGGUUCUUCAUAUUGAAGCCCACUUGAGUAUUCGACAAUGACAUAAUAGAGAAAGUGGGAUGAGAGAGAGUGCUUAGCCAACAAAAUGCCUCAACCCUAAUGCACCAAAUACACCAUCUUUCUUGCCCCACAUUUGAUUCAUAUAAUCUCUCAUAUAUAUAUAUAUAAAAUGAUUAUGACAAUUAAAUUAAUAUUUAGUAUAUAAAAACAAAUCCUAACCAUUCUAGACCCUUCAAAUCCUAUCCUCUUCCCACGUGUCCUCUCAGAUAUUUUCUUCACUUUUCUUGUUCCACUUUUAUAUAUUUGGUCAGUCUCUUCACUUCUUUCUACUAUCUCACCUCUCCAGACUUCCGAGGAACACCAAAACCUUCUUUUGUUUUCUUCUUCUAAUCAAUGGCAUCUUCCAUAGCUACAACUCUCACUUCCUCUUCAAAGCUUUGCAGGAACACUUCUCUCUUCGAGUCUUCCUUCCAUGGGGUUCCAAUUAAACCACUUUCUUUUCAUUUCAAAACAAAGUCUUCCCCGUGCAACGCAUCCAUUUCCAUGUCUGCAGCA
rnacentral:lncRNA from 1 species